rnacentral:rRNA from 1 species
GACGAACGCUGGCGGCGUGGAUUAGGCAUGCAAGUCGGACGGUAGGGCUUUAUCGUAAGAUAGAGUUUGAGAGUGGCGAACGGGUGAGUAACACGUAGGAAUCUACCCUUAAGACGGGGACAACCCAGGGAAACUUGGGCUAAUACCGGAUGAGAGUGCGAGAGAUUGCAUUUAAAAGGAUGGCGAAAGUUGUCGCUUAGGGAUGAGCCUGCGGUCUAUUAGUUAGUUGGUGGGGUAAGAGCUCACCAAGGCGAUGAUAGAUAGGCGGCCUUAACGGGUGGUCGCCCACACUGGGAUUGAGAUACGGCCCAGACUCCUACGGGAGGCAGCAGUCGAGAAUAGUCUACAAUGGCCGGAAGGCUGAUAGUGCGACGCCGCGUGAACGAGGGAGCCCUUCGGGGUGUAAAGUUCUUUUAUACGUGAGCAGUGCCCUUUAUAUGAAUAGUAUAUAUAGAGGGAUAGUAGUAUAGGAAUAAGCAACGGCUAACUCCGUGCCAGCAGCCGCGGUAAACAUA